AGAACGAACGCUGGCGGCAGGCUUAACACAUGCAAGUCGAACGCCCCGCAAGGGGAGUGGCAGACGGGUGAGUAACGCGUGGGAAUCUACCCAGUUCUACGGAAUAACACAGGGAAACUUGUGCUAAUACCGUAUACGCCCUACGGGGGAAAGAUUUAUCGGGAUUGGAUGAGCCCGCGUUGGAUUAGCUAGUUGGUGGGGUAAUGGCCUACCAAGGCGACGAUCCAUAGCUGGUCUGAGAGGAUGAUCAGCCACACUGGGACUGAGACACGGCCCAGACUCCUACGGGAGGCAGCAGUAGGGAAUCUUGCGCAAUGCGCGAAAGCGUGACGCAGCAACGCCGCGUGGGGGAAGAAGGCCCUCGGGUUGUAAACCCCUUUCAGUUGGGACGAAGCUUCGUCGGUUAAUAGCCGACUGGAGUGACGGUACCUUCACAAGAAGCACCGGCUAACUCGUGCCAGCAGCCGC
rnacentral:rRNA from 1 species